rnacentral:lncRNA from 1 species
AAGAGAGUCCCGCACCCAAAAACCUCGAGCCGAACCUUAACACCGACAAUCCAUCUCGUCAAUGAGAAAUAAUAACCCAUACUCACGGACACUGUUCUCUGACACCAUUUACCAUCACUGUUCAUUGUACUGUUCAUCGUUAUUAUUCACUAUUACUAUUCAUCAUUACUGUUCACACCGAAUGUCAUCAGUAACCCUCGUUUCUUCUUAUUGGGUGCGUGUGUGCGUG